rnacentral:rRNA from 1 species
AGCAGCCGCGGUAAUUCCAGCUCCAAUAGCGUAUAUUAAAGUUGUUGCAGUUAAAAAGCUCGUAGUUGAAUUUCGAGAUCAAAUUGUUGGUCGUGCCUCGGUACGUACUGGCAUUAUUGAUCUCUCCUUUCUGAAGAACCAUGAUGUCAUUAAUUUGGUGUCUUGGGGAAUCAGGACUGUUACUUUGAAAAAAUUAGAGUGUUUAAAGCAGGCUCACGCUUGAAUACAUUAGCAUGGAAUAAUGAAAUAGGACGUUUGAUUCUAUUUUGUUGGUUUCUAGGAUCGACGUAAUGAUUAAUAGGGAUAGUUGGGGGCAUUAGUAUUCAAUUGUCAGAGGUGAAAUUCUUGGAUUUAUUGAAGACUAACUACUGCGAAAGCAUUUGCCAAGGAUGUUUUCAUUAAUCAAGAACGAAAGUUAGGGGAUCGAAGACGAUCAGAUACCGUCGUAGUCUUAACCAUAAACUAUGCCGACUAGGGAUCGGAUGAUGUUAAUUUUUA